rnacentral:rRNA from 1 species
GUCAAAACGACUCUCGGUAACGGAUAUCUCGGCUCUCGCAUCGAUGAAGAACGUAGCGAAAUGCGAUACUUGGUGUGAAUUGCAGAAUCCCGUGAACCAUCAGUCUUUGAACGCAAGUUGCGCCCGAAGCCAUCAGGCCGAGGGCACGUCUGCCUGGGCGUCACGCAUCGCGUCGC